CUGACGCUGAGGCGCGAAAGUGUGGGGAGCAAACAGGAUUAGAUACCCUGGUAGUCCACACUGUAAACGAUGAGUGCUAGGUGUAGGAGGUAUCGACCCCUUCUGUGCCGCAGUCAACACAAUAAGCACUCCGCCUGGGGAGUACGGCCGCAAGGUUGAAACUCAAAGGAAUUGACGGGGGCCCGCACAAGCAGCGGAGCAUGUGGUUUAAUUCGACGCAACGCGAAGAACCUUACCAGGUCUUGACAUCCAAUUAAACUUACAGAGAUGUAAGGUGUGCUUGCACAAAUUGAGACAGGUGGUGCAUGGUUGUCGUCAGCUCGUGUCGUGAGAUGUUGGGUUAAGUCCCGCAACGAGCGCAACCCUUAUGUUCAGUUACUAACGCGUCAUGGUGAGGACUCUGAACAGACUGCCGGGGACAACUCGGAGGAAGGUGGGGACGACGUCAAAUCAUCAUGCCCCUUAUGACCUGGGCUACACACGUGCUACAAUGGCCACCACAGAGAGGGGCGAGCCCGCAAGGGUAAGCAGAUCUCAAAAAAGUGGUCCCAGUUCGGAUUGUGGGCUGCAACCCGCCCACAUGAAGUCGGAGUUGCUAGU
rnacentral:rRNA from 1 species